AGAGAUUAUUUCCUAGAGUAAUUUUAUUUCCAUACAUAGCAAGAUUAUACAUGUAUUUAUACACCAUGUACCAUACAUAAAAUCAAUGAAAUUAUUUCAUUCUAUAUGAAAAUUAACAUGGUAUCAGAGCAUUAGGUUUCAAAUUACAUACGCAAUCUGCCAUAGCCGAACUGACCUCUGUCCCUGGGAUGCAAAUAAAUCUCUUACAGAUUCAUUCCCUUACUUCUUGCAUUCAUCCGAUCAACCAAACCAAUUUCUUGUGGAUACACAUCUUAAUGGCGACAACUAUUCGGCUUGGCGUCGAUCAAUUACUCGUGCACUCAAUGCCAAAAAUAAAUUAGGCUUUGUUCUCGGCACCAUUAAGCGUCCUACCGAUGACACUGCCGUAGCACUACUUUGGGACCGAUGCUUUGACAUGGUAAUGUCAUGGCUUCUACACUUAAUUGAUCGACCACUUACAGGAAGCCUCCUUUACUGUGCCACACCGAACGACCUAUGGUAGGAGCUAGAGAGUCAUUUUCAACAAAACAAUCGUACCAAAAUUUUCCAACUCAAACGAGAUUUGGCCAAUUUCCACCAAGAACAACAAUCAAUCACAGCAUACUACAGCAAAUUGAAGGAAUUAUUGAAUGAACUAGCUUCCUUAAAACCCACCAGUUCAUGUACGUGUGGGGCUUCUAAAUCUCUCGCUGAACUUCAUGAAACCGAUCGAAUUUAUCAAUUUCUCAUGGGCCUUAAUGAUAGCUUUGAACAACUUCGAUCCUAGAUUGUGGCUACUGGCCCACUUUCUUCCAUUGGUCGCUACUAUGCUAUCCUCCAUCAAGAAGAAACUCAACGUUUGAUUCAAUUAUGCCCACCUCGACCAGAUGUCUCAGCCUUAAUCGCCAGCUCGACGCUGCCAAAGACCUCAUCUCGUCCUCGUCGUGAAUGGCCUGUUGGAACAUACUUUGUAAGGCGAGUGGUAAACCUGGUCACCAACAGAACAAAUGUUUUGAAGUUAUUGGAUACCCGGAUUGGUGGCCUUCUAAGAUCAAACACAGCACGGCAGGUUCUUCAUCUCCAGCUGUUCAUCAGGUUUCUGCGGCCGGCACAUCAUCAAUCGUGAGUGGAAUUCCUGGCCUCUCCACCGACCAGUAUGCCCAAUUGAUGGAACUACUCAAAAACCCACCCCUUACCUUCGCAGGUUCAGCCUUUGUUCUCUCUUUUGACAAUGAAUCGUGGGUAGUGGAUAGUGGUGCCACACACCACAUUACUAAUUUGCCCUUGCACAAUUCUUAUAACCAUGCUAGUCCACCUUUUGUUUGUUUGCCUACAGGGUCACAGUCUCCCAUCUCCAGUACGGGUGAAAUUACUUUAUCCCCUCAUAUCCCACUUUCUAAUGUUUUGUCAAUUCCGGAUUUUAAAUUUAAUUUGUUAUCCG
rnacentral:lncRNA from 1 species